GUAAUCACAGGUCAGCAUACUGUGGUGAAUACGUUCCCGGGCCUUGUACACACCGCCCGUCCACACCAUGAGAGUUAGGGAUACCCGAAGCCUGUGAGCUAACUUUUAGAGGCAGNAGUCGAAGGUAGAACUAAUGAUUGGGGUGAAGUCGUAACAAGGUAUC
rnacentral:rRNA from 1 species